AAACCGGAAGGAAGGGUGGGGAUGACGUACAAGUCCUCAGUCGGCCCUUAGUAGGGUCGGCUACACACGUCAUACAAUGGCUGGUACAGAGGGUUGCCAACCCGCGAGGGGGAGCCAAUCCCAUAAAGCCAGUCGUAGUCCGGAUCGCAGUCUGCAACUCGACUGCGUGAAGUCGGAAUCGCUAGUAAUCGCGGAUCAGAAUGUCGCGGUGAAUACGUUCCCGGGUCUUGUACACACCGCCCGUCACACCAUGGGAGCGGGUUCUGCCAGAAGUAGUUAGCCUAACCGCAAGGAGGGCGAUUACCACGGCAGGGUUCGUGACUGGGGUGAAGUCGUAACAAGGUAGCCGUAUCGGAAGGUGCGGCUGGAUCACCUCCUUUCUGAG
rnacentral:rRNA from 1 species